GACGAACGCUGGCGGCGUGCUUAACACAUGCAAGUCGAACGGAAAGGCCCUGCUUUUGUGGGGUGCUCGAGUGGCGAACGGGUGAGUAACACGUGAGUAACCUGCCCUUGACUUUGGGAUAACUUCAGGAAACUGGGGCUAAUACCGGAUAGGAGCUCCUGCUGCAUGGUGGGGGUUGGAAAGUUUCGGCGGUUGGGGAUGGACUGGCGGCUUAUCAGCUUGUUGGUGGGGUAGUGGCUUACCAAGGCUUUGACGGGUAGCCGGCCUGAGAGGGUGACCGGCGACCUUGGGACUGAGAUACGGACCAGACUCCUACGGGAGGCAGCAGUGGGGAAUAUUGCACAGUGGGCGGAAGCCUGAUGCAGAGACGCCGCGUGCGGGAUGACGGCCUUCGGGUUGUAAACCGCUUUAGCCUGUGACGAAGCGUGAGUGACGGUAAUGGGUAAAGAAGCACCGGCUAACUACGUG
rnacentral:rRNA from 1 species